UACGUAUGGUGCAAGCGUUAUCCGGAUUUACUGGGUGUAAAGGGAGCGCAGGCGGAAGGCUAAGUCUGAUGUGAAAGCCCGGGGCUCAACCCCGGUACUGCAUUGGAAACUGGUCAUCUAGAGUGCCGGAGGGGUAAGUGGAAUUCCUAGUGUAGCGGUGAAAUGCGUAGAUAUUAGGAGGAACACCAGUGGCGAAGGCGGCUUACUGGACGAUAACUGACGCUGAGGCUCGAAAGCGUGGGGAGCAAACAGG
rnacentral:rRNA from 1 species